CCUACGGGAGGCAGCAGUAGGGAAUAUUGCUCAAUGGGGGAAACCCUGAAGCAGCAACGCCGCGUGGAGGAUGAAGGUUCUCGGAUUGUAAACUCCUUUUGAUAGAGAAGUUAAUGACGGGACCUAACGAAUAAGCACCGGCUAACACCGUGACAGCAGCCGCGGUAAUACGGAGGGUGCAAGCGUUACUCGGAAUAACUGGGCGUAAAGAGCGCGUAGGCGGGAUAGCAAGUCAGCUGUGAAAUCCUAUGGCUUAACCAUAGAACUGCAGUUGAAACUGGUAUUCUAGAGUAUGGGAGAGGUAGGUGGAAUUCGUGGUGUAGGGGUAAAAUCCGUAGAGAUCAAGAGGAAUACUCAUUGCGAAGGCGACCUGCUAGAACAUGACUGACGCUGAUGCGCGAAAGCGUGGGGAGCAAACAGGAUUAGAUACCCCGGUAGUC
rnacentral:rRNA from 1 species